rnacentral:rRNA from 1 species
GAUGAACGCUGGCGGCGUGCUUAACACAUGCAAGUCGAACGGGAAUUACUUUAUUGAAACUUCGGUCGAUUUAAUUUAAUUCUAGUGGCGGACGGGUGAGUAACGCGUGGGUAACCUGCCUUAUACAGGGGGAUAACAGUCAGAAAUGGCUGCUAAUACCGCAUAAGCGCACAGAGCUGCAUGGCUCAGUGUGAAAAACUCCGGUGGUAUAAGAUGGACCCGCGUUGGAUUAGCUGGUUGGUGGGGUAACGGCCCACCAAGGAGACGAUCCAUAGCCGGCCUGAGAGGGGGAACGGCCACAUUGGGACUGAGACACGGCCCAGACUCCUACGGGAGGCAGCAGUGGGGAAUAUUGCACAAUGGGGGAAACCCUGAUGCAGCGACGCCGCGUGAAGGAAGAAGUAUCUCGGUAUGUAAACUUCUAUCAGCAGGGAAGAUAGUGACGGUACCUGACUAAGAAGCCCCGGCUAACUACGUGCCAGCAGCCGCCGUAA